UAAAAAUUAUAUGCUAUUUAAGAUGAAUUGUAUGUUUUUUAAUUGAACAAACAACAAUUGAUAAAAUAAAUAAUUAUUUUACUUAUGUCAUUCGAUAAUUGAAGUUGUGUUAUUAUAUUUCAUAAUCUCACAUAUUAGAAAUUUGCGACAUAUUACCAUAGUGGCGGGAACUCAUAGCAAUAUAUAUGGUAUCUAAAUUUCAGCUAUGGGUGGUCGACCUGAUAGAUUAAUUAGAUAAUCAUGCAAAUUAAUUAUCUGGUCCACCAUCAUGAUUACAAUAUUUAUGUUACGGGCAAUAUGGAAUACCAAACAAUGUGCGAGCAAUGUGAACUGCGAAUACAAACAAAUAAUUUAUAAUAUUGAUCAUUUAUUUCAUUAAAUCACAUAUUACAUAAUAUAUUU